CCAGAGGAUCGGACGGCCGCCGCGCCAGCGCUCGAAAGGGUGGCGGGGAGGAAAGUCCGGGCUCCACGGAUCGACGGUGCCGGGUAAUGCCCGGCGGGGGCGACCCCAGGGAAAGUGCCACAGAAAACAGACCGCCUGCCUGGCUCGCCAGGACGGCAAGGGUGAAACGGGGGGGUAAGAGCCCACCGCGCGACCGGCAACGGAAGCGGCACGGCAAACCCCACCGGGAGCAAGACCAAAUAGGGGCGACACGCCGGGCAACCGGCAGCGGUGUUUCCGCGUCGUCGCUCGGGUCGGUCGCGCGAGGCGUUCGGUAACGGACGUCCCAGAGGAAUGGCCAUCCAUCGCUUUCGGGCGAGGACAGAACCCGGCUUACAGGCCGUCUGACCCU
rnacentral:RNase_P_RNA from 1 species